rnacentral:misc_RNA from 1 species
GAUGAAGAACGUAGCGAAAUGCGAUAAGUAAUGUGAAUUGCAGAAUUCAGUGAAUCAUCGAAUCUUUGAACGCACAUUGCGCCCGCCAGUAUUCUGGCGGGCAUGCCUGUUCGAGCGUCAUUUCAACCAUCAAGCCCCCGGGCUUGUGUUGGGGACCUGCGGCUGCCGCAGGCCCUGAAAAGCAGUGGCGGGCUCGCUGUCACACCGAGCGUAGUAGAUUUUAUCUCGCUCUGGGCGUGCUGCGGGUUCCGGCCGUUAAACCACCCUUUUAACCCAAGGUUGACCUCGGAUCAGGCAGGAAGACCCGCUGAACUUAAGCAUAUCAAUAAGCGGAGGA